GUUUAUUUCAGUAAAGCAAGUCAAAGUUUGGAGCUCUCAUAAAAUACAUACCAUAAUCUGGAAACUAGAAGUUAUGAGCAUCCGAAGACUACUCGCUUUUCGACGAUUCUACCUCGCUAAAGGGUGAGAUACAAAAGGAUGAGAGCAUUUCCGGAAUUCUUCGACCUUGAUUUUCAGUCCAUUAGAUACUUUUUCGUUCAGUUUUUCUCCACAUGCACAUAACGAAUUCUUCAAAAUUAGCAAUAAAGUUUCUGGCCACGUACCACACGAGCCGAGAUUAACAAUCGAAGAAUGGAAUAAGAAUUGUUGAAAGAAAGAAACGCAAAAACAUUCAUCCUGC